rnacentral:pre_miRNA from 1 species
GUUUGACUUUUCGUCUUAUUUUAAUUUUUUUGCAAUUAACAUUUUUAUUGUUAUUAGAUGAUAAAACAUAAAUAAUAAUUUACGCGUAACUAAUUUUUUGAGUUUUUUUAAUAAAUUUUUCAAAUAAGAUGGAUAGUAAAAC